rnacentral:rRNA from 1 species
UAGGGAAUCUUCCGCAAUGGGCGAAAGCCUGACGGAGCAACGCCGCGUGAGUGAUGAAGGUCUUCGGAUCGUAAAACUCUGUUAUUAGGGAAGAACAUAUGUGUAAGUAACUGUGCACAUCUUGACGGUACCUAAUCAGAAAGCCACGGCUAACUACGUGCCAGCAGCCGCGGUAAUACGUAGGUGGCAAGCGUUAUCCGGAAUUAUUGGGCGUAAAGCGCGCGUAGGCGGUUUUUUAAGUCUGAUGUGAAAGCCCACGGCUCAACCGUGGAGGGUCAUUGGAAACUGGAAAACUUGAGUGCGGAAGAGGAAAGUGGAAUUCCAUGUGUAGCGGUGAAAUGCGCAGAGAUAUGGAGGAACACCAGUGGCGAAGGCGACUUUCUGGUCUGUAACUGACGCUGAUGUGCGAAAGCGUGGGGAUCAAACAGGAUUAGAUACCCUGGUAGUCCACGCCGUAAACGAUGAGUGCUAAGUGUUAGGGGGUUUCCGCCCCUUAGUGCUGCAGCUAACGCAUUAAGCACUCCGCCUGGGGAGUACGACCGCAAGGUUG